UACGGAAGGGGCGAGCGUUGUUCGGAAUCAUUGGGCGUAAAGGGCGCGUAGGUGGUUCUGUAUGUCUACUGUGAAAGCGUACAGCUCAACUGUAUUUUGUCGGUAGAAACUGCAGGACUUGAGGCUGGGAGGGGCUGGUGGAAUUCCCUGUGUAGCGGUGAAAUGCGUAGAGAUGGGGGAGAACACUCGUGGCGAAGGCGGCCAGCUAGACCAGUUCUGACACUGAGGCGCGACAGCGUGGGGAGCAAACAGG
rnacentral:rRNA from 1 species